AUUGAACGCUGGCGGCAGGCCUAACUCAUGCAAGUCGAACGGUAACAGGAAGCAGCUUGCUGCUUCGCUGACGAGUGGCGGACGGGUGAGUAAUGUCUGGGAAGCUGCCUGAUGGAGGGGGAUAACUACUGGAAACGGUAGCUAAUACCGCAUAAUGUCGCAAGACCAAAGAGGGGGACCUUCGGGCCUCUUGCCAUCGGAUGUGCCCAGAUGGGAUUAGCUUGUUGGUGGGGUAACGGCUCACCAAGGCGACGAUCCCUAGCUGGUCUGAGAGGAUGACCAGCCACACUGGAACUGAGACACGGUCCAGACUCCUACGGGAGGCAGCAGUGGGGAAUAUUGCACAAUGGGCGCAAGCCUGAUGCAGCCAUGCCGCGUGUAUGAAGAAGGCCUUCGGGUUGUAAAGUACUUUCAGCGGGGAGGAAGGGAGUAAAGUUAAUACCUUUGCUCAUUGACGUUACCCGCAGAAGAAGCACCGGCUAACUCCGUG
rnacentral:rRNA from 1 species